rnacentral:rRNA from 1 species
UUUUUAGAUCUUCCUGGAGGAGCUUGCUAUCUAACCGAUAACCCACGAAAAACCUCACCAACCUUUGAAAAUAUCAACCUGUAUACCAUCGUCGUCAGUCUACCUCUUAAGAGUAGUAUACUAAAAGGGAAAUUACCCUCAACGCCAGAUCGAGGUGCAGUUAAUGGGUUGGGGAUAAGUGAGCUACAAUAUUUCACCAAACCAAAAUAUAAUUAUGGACAACUCCAUGAAAAAAAGUUCCAAACAGGAUUCAGUAGUAAUACCUUAAAGAGAGAAGAUAUGAAUUAUCCCAAAGCUCUAAAAAGCGC